GCCCCCGUGGUGAAACUGGAAUCACGCAGCGCUUCGGACGCUGUAUUGCAGGUUCGAAUCCUGCCGGGGGCGCC
rnacentral:tRNA from 1 species